AUUGAACGCUGGCGGCAUGCUUUACACAUGCAAGUCGAACGGUAACAGGGUGAUUGCACCGCUGACGAGUGGCGAACGGGUGAGUAAUGCGUCGGAACGUGCCGAGUAGUGGGGGAUAACGCAGCGAAAGUUGUGCUAAUACCGCAUACGUACUGAGGUAGAAAGUGGGGGACCUUCGGGCCUCACGCUAUUCGAGCGGCCGACGUCUGAUUAGCUGGUAGGUGAGGUAAAGGCUCACCUAGGCGACGAUCAGUAGCGGGGCUGAGAGGAGGAUACGCCACACGGGGACUGAGAGACGGCCCCGACUACUACGGGAGGCAGGAGUGGGGAAGUUUGGACAUGGGCGAAGGCCUGAUCCAGCCAUGCCGCGUGUCUGAAGAAGGCCUUCGGGUUGUAAAGGACGUUUGUCAGGGAGGAAAUCCCUAGUGCUAAUAACACUGGGGGAUGACAGUACCUGAAGAAUAAGCACCGGCUAACUACGUGCCAGCAGCCGCAGUAA
rnacentral:rRNA from 1 species